GUGAGGAAUAUUGCGCAAUGGAGGCAACUCUGACGCAGCCAUGCCGCGUGCAGGAAGAAGGCGCUACGCGUUGUAAACUGCUUUUAACCGGGAAGAAACCCCAGGACGUGUCCUGGGUUGACGGUACCGGAGGAAUAAGCACCGGCUGACUUCGUGCCAGCAGCCGCGGUAAUACGAAGGGUGCAAGCGUUAUCCGGAUUCAGUGGGUUUAAAGGGUGCGUAGGCGGAGCGUUAAGUCAGUGGUGAAAUCCUGCAGCUUAACUGUAGACUUGCCAUUGUUACUGGCGCUCUUGAGUGCGCUUGAAGUGGGCGGAAUGUGCCGUGUAGCGGUGAAAUGCUUAGAUAUGGCACAGAACACCAAUUGCGAAGGCAGCUCACUAAGGCGAUACUGACGCUGAGGCACGAAAGCGUGGGGAUCGAACAGGAUUAGAUACCCUUGUAGUCC
rnacentral:rRNA from 1 species